CGGAAAUACCAUGCUGAAUAUACCGGUUCUCGUUAGAUCACCGAAGUCAAGCAUCAUUGGGCGCGGUCAGUACUUGGGUGGCCCACAUGGGAACACCGCGUGCCGUU
rnacentral:rRNA from 1 species